rnacentral:rRNA from 1 species
UACGGGGGGGGCAAGCGUUGUUCGGAAUUACUGGGCGUAAAGGGCUCGUAGGUGGCCAACUAAGUCAGACGUGAAAUCCCUCGGCUUAACCGGGGAACUGCGUCUGAUACUGGAUGGCUUGAGUUCGGAAGAGGGAUGCGGAAUUCCAGGUGUAGCGGUGAAAUGCGUAGAUAUCUGGAGGAACACCGGUGGCGAAGGCGGCACCCUGGACCGACACUGACACUGAGGAGCGAAAGCCAGGGGAGCAAACAGG